UGAGGAAUAUUGGUCAAUGGGCGAGAGCCUGAACCAGCCAAGUCGCGUGAGGGAAGACGGUCCUAUGGAUUGUAAACCUCUUUUGCCGGGGAGCAAAGAGCGGCACGUGUGCCGCGCCGAGAGUACCCGGAGAAAAAGCAUCGGCUAACUCCGUGCCAGA
rnacentral:rRNA from 1 species